GCGGAGGGAUCAUUACAGAAGCAUUCUUUUGCUCUUAAACACCUGUGAACAUACUUUUGUUGCUUCGGCGGGCCUGCCCCUCGGGGGGCGGUCAAGGUCCGCCGGAGGUUUUUCAAAACUCUUGUUUUACUAGUCUUCAGAAUACCAAAAAAAAUAAAUCAAAACUUUCAACAACGGAUCUCUUGGCUCUAGCAUCGAUGAAGAACGCAGCGAAACGCGAUAGGUAAUGCGAAUUGCAGAAUUCCGUGAGUCAUCGAAUCUUUGAACGCACAUUGCGCCCGCCGGUAUUCUGGCGGGCAUGCCUGUUCGAGCGUCAUUUCAACCCUCGGGCCUGUCCCGGUGUUGGGGCUCUGUAGCAUACGACAGACCCCGAAAGACAGUGGCGGAGCCGCCUAGCUCUCAGCGUAGUAAUUUUUCUCGUUGUGGGGCGACAGCGGUUGCUUGCCGUUAAACAACCACUAUUCUAAUUGUUUGACCUCGGAUCAG
rnacentral:rRNA from 1 species